rnacentral:rRNA from 1 species
GACGUAGGGCGCGAGCGUUGUCCGGAAUUAUUGGGCGUAAAGAGCUCGUAGGCGGUCUGUCGCGUCGGCUGUGAAAACCCGAGGCUCAACCUCGGGCCUGCAGUCGAUACGGGCAAACUAGAGUACUGCAGGGGAGACUGGAAUUCCUGGUGUAGCGGUGAAAUGCGCAGAUAUCAGGAGGAACACCGGUGGCGAAGGCGGGUCUCUGGGCAACAACUGACGCUGAGGAGCGAAAGCGUGGGGAGCGAACAGG